rnacentral:rRNA from 2 species
AUACCGUGAAACUGCGAAUGGCUCAUUAAAUCAGUUAUCGUUUAUUUGAUAGUACCUUACCACUUGGAUAACCGUGGUAAUUCUAGAGCUAAUACAUGCUAAAAACCCCGACUUCGGAAGGGGUGUGUUUAUUAGAUAAAAAACCAAUGCCCUUCGGGGCUCUUUGGUGAUUCAUGAUAACCUAACGGAUCGCAUGGCCUUGCGCCGGCGACGGUUCAUUCAAAUUUCUGCCCUAUCAACUUUCGAUGGUAAGGUAUUGGCUUACCAUGGUUUCAACGGGUAACGGGGAAUUAGGGUUCGAUUCCGGAGAGGGAGCCUGAGAAACGGCUACCACAUCCAAGGAAGGCAGCAGGCGCGCAAAUUACCCAAUCCCGACACGGGGAGGUAGUGACAAUAAAUACUGAUACAGGGCUCUUUUGGGUCUUGUAAUUGGAAUGAGUACAAUUUAAACCCCUUAACGAGGAACAAUUGGAGGGCAAGUCUGGUGCCAGCAGCCGCGGUAAUUCCAGCUCCAAUAGCGUAUAUUAAAGUUGUUGCAGUUAAAAAGCUCGUAGUUGAAACUUGGGUCUGGCUAGCGGGUCCGCCUCACCGCGUGCACUUGUCCGGCUGGACCUUUCCUUCUGGAGAACCUCAUGCCCUUCACUGGGUGUGUUGGGGAACCAGGACUUUUACUUUGAAAAAAUUAGAGUGUUCAAAGCAGGCCUUUGCUCGAAUACGUUAGCAUGGAAUAAUAGAAUAGGACGUGCGGUCCUAUUUUGUUGGUUUCUAGGAUCGCCGUAAUGAUUAAUAGGGAUAGUCGGGGGCAUCAGUAUUCAAUUGUCAGAGGUGAAAUUCUUGGAUUUAUUGAAGACUAACUACUGCGAAAGCAUUUGCCAAGGAUGUUUUCAUUAAUCAGUGAACGAAAGUUAGGGGAUCGAAGACGAUCAGAUACCGUCGUAGUCUUAACCGUAAACUAUGCCGACUAGGGAUCGGGCGAUGUUUCUAUCUUGACUCGCUCGGCACCUUACGAGAAAUCAA